ACUCACAGCAAUUAUUUUUUGUACAAUUGCAUGGGCACUUUCGGAUUCAAAGGUCCUUUUUGUGGGAGGUAGGCGCCCCAAGAUAGUUCUUUUCAUCUUUCAUUAGUAUAUAACUUUUUCACAUACGUAUUUUGUUUCUGCAGGAGUACAAUUUCUUGAGGGUAGAGCAUGUUUCUGACACAUCUUAGCAUCUCUGAGUGCCAGAAAAAAUAGGUGCUUACCAUCAGGAUCAGGAUCCAUCAGGGUAGUCUACAGCUGGUGACAUGGCAAGAAAGAGGAGGCUGCAGAGACUGAACAAACAGCAUGCACUGUGGUAUCCUUUAUUUAAAAAUUGUGAGCUAACUACAGUUGUAGUGUUCUCAUUUACCAUUCUGAUGGCAUAAUAAACUGCGAGAACAUUAACACAA